ACAAAAAAGUGCUUUGUAAAGUAGAAAGUAAAUUCUCAGUCUGCGCAUCUACAGGUGCCUACUGUGUUUGCGCUUUGCUGACUUUGUUACAAAUGAGUUCAGGGGAGUAGAAAGGAAGACUUAGUUAACAUUUGUAGAAUGUUUUAGAAUUAGAAAGCAGCAAGCUGGGAGGGGCCUUGAAGCCUCACAAAGUCGUUCACAUUGUCAGUGCUUAGAGGUUUGGUUCUUUGUUGUUGUUUAACUUUUUGAGGUAGAAAACUAAUUUUGUUGUUGUAUCCAGAGUUAACUUAGUGUACAAAAUUUAGAUAUAUGAUAAAGUAAGACAUCACCAUCUAGAGUUCAAACUUGCAGACAUUGGGGGAAUAUAUUUCUGUUUAUGAGUUAGAUUACUGAUGUGUGUUGACUUUUUUGGUAUUAUAUAGAGUAAAUAAUAAAGAUUAUUGAAGCACAAAGUGCAGAGGAAAAUUAAGGCUGAAAUUAAAGAUCAUUUUUAAAAUGUCUUAUGCAAAAUGAAUGUAAAUAAAUCAAUUCAUAAAGAUAAAAAUGAAUUUUUGUAGAAAAUUUUAUCUAAGCCAUGGGAAUAUCAUGAAUUGUUUUAUCAUAAGAGAUUACAUUUUAUCCUGUUUCUACGUCAUCAUAUCUUACCAGAGUGUACCACCAUAACUUGUGUUUCUUGUCAUUUGAUGUGCUAGCAUAUACCUGUAGUCGCACUGCCUUGGAGAUGGAGGAAGAAAGAUCAGUGUCAUUCUUGGCUACAUAGCGAGUUUGAGGCCAGCCUGGGCUAUAAGUGAUCCUGUUUCAAAAACCCAAAAUAACCUGUUGUAGAGUCAACCACCUGGAAUCCUAUACGUGGGAGGUAGAGGCAGGAAGAUCAGCAGUGCAAAGUCAGUCUAUGGUACACAGAAAGUUUGAGGGCAGCCUUCGAUAGCUGUACCAUCUCAAAACAACAACAACAAGGAUAAUUGCCCCUAGCCUUAGCAGGUUAGCUGUCAAUGGGAUAAAGUUAAGCUCCUGGCAGCAGACUCUGAAGUGGGCAGGCCUUAGAGGUUGGUGUAGGAAACUUUCUUGGUAUAAUCUCCUGUGAGAGAAGUGAGAAAGUAGGAAACGAUAUUUGAAUAUGCAUAGUGAUGGGAUUGAGCCUUGGGCUUUACAGACAAUAGGAAAGCAUUAAAACUGACCAUUGCCUGUGUGACACUGUCUUUAUUUUUAUGUAUUACCUUUUCUUCUUAGUAGUAGAAGAGAAAUGAACCUAAUUCUCUGAAAAAGCACUCUACCACUAAGCUAUAUUUCUAGUAUGGUUGAUGUUGUGUUAACCAACAUUGGUUGAUGAAUUUAUGUUGUGCUAUGGAUGUUUAGAAGAAUGCCAUUACUAAAUGAAGUUAGUAUAGUCUUACAAAAGAUACCAUACUGAAGCUGGGUUCUAUAGAGUCAAUUGGGUUGUUUGGCAGCAACAAUAAAGAAUAAAAAGUAGACAGUUUUCAUUUAGUCAAUGGUAUUACACAGCAGAGUGAGAAAAAUAAAUGAUUUGAAGAGCAGAGCUGUAUGUAUUUACUAGUUUUUGUUUUGUGUUAGGGCCUCAGCCUAGGGUAGCCUCAGGUUUACCAAGUAGCCGAGGUUGAGCCUGAAUUCCUGUUCAUCUUUCCUUUGCACCUCUAGUGCUGGGAUUAUAGGUGAGCUCCAGUUCACCCAGUUUACCAGACUUCAAUUUUUGUAGUAAGACAAAUUGCGAGGUUGUCUUUGAUCUUGAUUUGCUUCAGUGUAAUUUUGUUUCUGUUGUGAUUUGUUUUGAGAUAAGAUCUGUGUAGCUGAGGAUGACUUUUGACCUCCUAAAAACCUACAGACUUGUGCUGCCAUUCCUCACUUAUGCUGUUCUGGGGAUGAAACCCAGGGCUCUGUGCAUGCUAGGCAAGCACUCUUGCUAACCGAGCCACAUCCCCUAGCCCCUGUUGUGAUAAUAUAAGAGACCUUGCUCAGCAAGAUAGCUGAGAAUAAGACAAGUUCAUUCUUCUCAGAGCUAAGAAAGUUGACUGGGCAUACUGAUUUUCACCUUUAAUCCCAGCACUGAGGAGGCAGAUGCAGCCAGAUCUCUUGGUCAGCCUGAGACACACACACAGUGAGACCCUGUCUCCAAAAAGGGGUGGGAGGAGUGGGAAAGAUAGGUUGCUUUAGAAUGAGAAACUUUCUUCAUAGAUUAAACGUAUUUGCUGCCCUCAUUCUUCUUGUUCUUGGGUUUGAGGCAGUUGAAUUUCUUUAAUAUACUAUAUAUGUUUUAGCUUAUUGCCUAUUACCUAUCUCUAAUUGGUUGAAAGUGUCUUUGGAAAUUUAGAAAGUAGAUUAAACUUGAGUUCCACUUACCUCUAUGACCUUGUAAGAUGCAGUAAAAUCUGGUCUUUUCUAAUCUGCAAAAUAGAGGUGAUACAAGUGAUAAUAGAUAGCUACUAACAAUAUCCUUUCCUUGUUGUUGACAUGAUGAAUAUAAAUGCUUUUGUAGAUGGAGAGGGAUCUUCCAGGGUAUUUUAUUACUACUUAAAGUCCCUUCGUGAAAUAUGUACAUAGUGAGUGGUAGGUUUCUGUAUUAGGGUAAGAUUUCUAAAAGUAAAAUGUUGAUGGUUAGGAGCUAUAGAAUUUAAAGUGUGUAGAGUCUAGUGUACCCAAAGCACAAAUUACAACUGAAAUGCCCUGUAAGGGUAUGUUUUACAGAGGAAAAAUUGUUAUUAAUCAUCUUUUAAAGAGUGCUAUGCCUCUCAUUUAGCCAUCAGAGUUACACAAACAAAAUGACUGUGUGUGGAGAUGAGUAAGAAGGUACCAGGCUGCUGGGCAUGGUUGUACACCCUCUUAAUCCCAGUACUUGAGAGGCAGAGGCAAGCAGAUGUCUGAGUUUAAGAUCAGUCUUUCAGGAUAGCUAGGGGUAUACAGAGAAAACCUGUUUC
rnacentral:lncRNA from 1 species